UGCCAGCCGCCGCGGUAAUACGAAGGGGGCCAGCGUUGUUCGGAAUCACUGGGCGUAAAGCGCACGUAGGCGGACUUUUAAGUCAGGGGUGAAAUCCCGGGGCUCAACCCCGGAACUGCCUUUGAUACUGGAAGUCUUGAGACCGAGAGAGGUGAGUGGAACUCCGAGUGUAGAGGUGAAAUUCGUAGAUAUUAGGAAGAACACCAGUGGCGAAGGCGACUUUCUGGCUCGUAACUGACGCUGAGGCACGAAAGCGUGGGGAGCAAACAGGAUUAGAUA
rnacentral:rRNA from 1 species